AAAGAUUAAGCCAUGCAUGUGUAAGUACAAUGUUUUAAACAUGAAACCGCGGAAAGCUCAUUAUAACAGCUAUAGACUACACGGUAAAUAUUUUAGUUGGAUAACUGAGGUAAUUCUUGAGCUAAUACACGCUAUUUAUACCACAUUAGUGGUGCGUUUAUUUGAUUAAACCAUUAUAACGGUUGACUCAAAAUAUCCUUGCUGAUUUUGUUAUUAAAACAUACCGUAUGUGUAUCUGGUUUAUCAACUUUCGAUGGUAGGGUAUUGGCCUACCAUGGUUGUGACGGAUAACGGAGAAUUAGGGUUCGACUCCGGAGAGGGAGCCUGAGAAACGGCUACCACAUCCAAGGAAGGCAGCAGGC
rnacentral:rRNA from 1 species